CCCUUAGAUGUUCUGGGCUGCACGCGCGCUACACUGAUUCUUUCAGCGAGUCCACCACCUUGCCUGGGAGGGUGGGGUAACCUCUGGAAAGAGCAUCGUGAUGGGGAUCGAUUAUUGUAAUUAUUAAUCUUCAACGAGGAAUUCCUAGUAAGCAUGUGUCAUCAGCCCGUGCUGAUUACGUCCCUGCCCUUUGUACACACCGCCCGUCGCUCCUACCGAUUGAACGGUUUAGUGAGGGCCUCGGAUUGGUCUCGGCCCGCUCUUUACCGGGCGGCGCCGUUGGUCGAGAAGACGCUCGAACUUGAUCGUUUAGAGGAAGUAAAAGUCGUAACA
rnacentral:rRNA from 1 species